GUGAACGCUGGCGGUAGGCCUAACACCUGCAAGUCGAACGGCAGCACCGUAAGAGCUUGCUCUUACGGGUGGCGAGUGGCGGACGGGUGAGGAAUACUUCGGAAUCUACUUUUUCGUGGGGGAUAACGUAGGGAAACUUACGCUAAUACCGCAUACGACCUACGGGUGAAAGCAGGGGAUCUUCGGACCUUGCGCGAUUGAAUGAGCCGAUGUCGGAUUAGCUAGUUGGCGGGGUAAAGGCCCACCAAGGCGACGAUCCGUAGCUGGUCUGAGAGGAUGAUCAGCCACACUGGAACUGAGACACGGUCCAGACUCCUACGGGAGGCAGCAGUGGGGAAUAUUGGACAAUGGGCGCAAGCCUGAUCCAGCCAUACCGCGUGGGUGAAGAAGGCCUUCGGGUUGUAAAGCCCUUUUGUUGGGAAAGAAGAGCAGCAGGUUAAUACCCCGCUGUUCUGACGGUACCCAAAGAAUAAGCACCGGCUAACUUCGUG
rnacentral:rRNA from 1 species